rnacentral:rRNA from 1 species
AUGCUGGAGGUAUCAGAAGUGCGAAUGCUGACAUAAGUAACGAUAAAGCGGGUGAAAAGCCCGCUCGCCGGAAGACCAAGGGUUCCUGUCCAACGUUAAUCGGGGCAGGGUGAGUCGACCCCUAAGGCGAGGCCGAAAGGCGUAGUCGAUGGGAAACAGGUUAAUAUUCCUGUACUUGGUGUUACUGCGAAGGGGGGACGGAGAAGGCUAUGUUGGCCGGGCGACGGUUGUCCCGGUUUAAGCGUGUAGGCUGGUUUUCCAGGCAAAUCCGGAAAAUCAAGGCUGAGGCGUGAUGACGAGGCACUACGGUGCUGAAGCAACAAAUGCCCUGCUUCCAGGAAAAGCCUCUAAGCAUCAGGUAACAUCAAAUCGUACCCCAAACCGACACAGGUGGUCAGGUAGAGAAUACCAAGGCGCUUGAGAGAACUCGGGUGAAGGAACUAGGCAAAAUGGUGCCGUAACUUCGGGAGAAGGCACGCUGAUAUGUAGGUGAAGUCCCUCGCGGAUGGAGCUGAAAUCAGUCGAAGAUACCAGCUGGCUGCAACUGUUUAUUAAAAACACAGCACUGUGCAAACACGAAAGUGGACGUAUACGGUGUGACGCCUGCCCGGUGCCGGAAGGUUAAUUGAUGGGGUUAGCGCAAGCGAAGCUCUUGAUCGAAGCCCCGGUAAACGGCGGCCGUAACUAUAACGGUCCUAAGGUAGCGAAAUUCCUUGUCGGGUAAGUUCCGACCUGCACGAAUGGCGUAAUGAUGGCCAGGCUGUCUCCACCCGAGACUCAGUGAAAUUGAACUCGCUGUGAAGAUGCAGUGUACCCGCGGCAAGACGGAAAGACCCCGUGAACCUUUACUAUAGCUUGACACUGAACAUUGAGCCUUGAUGUGUAGGAUAGGUGGGAGGCUUUGAAGUGUGGACGCCAGUCUGCAUGGAGCCGACCUUGAAAUACCACCCUUUAAUGUUUGAUGUUCUAACGUGGACCCGUGAUCCGGGUUGCGGACAGUGUCUGGUGGGUAGUUUGACUGGGGCGGUCUCCUCCUAAAGAGUAACGGAGGAGCACGAAGGUUGGCUAAUCCUGGUCGGACAUCAGGAGGUUAGUGCAAUGGCAUAAGCCAGCUUGACUGCGAGCGUGACGGCGCGAGCAGGUGCGAAAGCAGGUCAUAGUGAUCCGGUGGUUCUGAAUGGAAGGGCCAUCGCUCAACGGAUAAAAGGUACUCCGGGGAUAACAGGCUGAUACCGCCCAAGAGUUCAUAUCGACGGCGGUGUUUGGCACCUCGAUGUCGGCUCAUCACAUCCUGGGGCUGAAGUAGGUCCCAAGGGUAUGGCUGUUCGCCAUUUAAAGUGGUACGCGAGCUGGGUUUAGAACGUCGUGAGACAGUUCGGUCCCUAUCUGCCGUGGGCGCUGGAGAACUGAGGGGGGCUGCUCCUAGUACGAGAGGACCGGAGUGGACGCAUCACUGGUGUUCGGGUUGUCAUGCCAAUGGCACUGCCCGGUAGCUAAAUGCGGAAGAGAUAAGUGCUGAAAGCAUCUAAGCACGAAACUUGCCCCGAGAUGAGUUCU